GUCUUCCAAUUGAAUGCACUGCUGGUUUUUACUCUCUGCAAGAACUUUCUGCAAGUGAUAGCAUGGAACAAGGUGUCCAGGAACUAAAGGGUUACAAGAAAGAAAGAAAUUUGAAAAGAGUCCCAAAGCAUUUUUUUUUGUUUUUCUUCCUUUUUCCCUGAAGAAUUUAAUCCUUGGAAUUUUUCAAAUGUCAAAGUGGCAAUCCUUGCACUAUGAUUACUGUAUGAUCUGCACAGUAUGAUCACUGCAGUUGAACACAAACAUUCGUAAAGAUGAAGGUAGUUCCGGAUGUUUUCAUGGCAGCAUCCAGAAGAAAGGUUCAUUUAAAGAAACAGAAAACAAAUGAAACCUGGGAUAAUUCAGAGUGAGAGAACAAAGCAAACACAACCACAGAACAGGUCAUGCUCCACUCUACUUUUUAUCUUGCCAGCUGAAGAAUUGUACUUCAUGUUGACUUUCAUCUCCUUGGGAUUGCAGCUACCUCUGUGUGGUCAGCUGGGGUUUUGGGCUUUGUAAGAAAAGUUUGCAGUAUUGUGCUGUGUGCACAAAAAUGUCUACUUCUGACCUAGAAUCUAUCAAAGGAGGAAAGCAAUAAUAGGAGUGAAAGCAUUGUUGGAGUGGCUCUGCUCAGUAAUGAGAAAAUGCUCUCUGCAGUGAUGCUGGAUGCAAUUGCCUAAGCCAAUUAGAAUAACUGAGAGGGGAAAACUAGUCAGUGUCACUUCAAUUUUUUUUAACCUUCUUGAUAGCAUUAAUGCAUCUACAGGUCACAGAUGUAAGCUUUUUCUAGUGAUGUUCUUAGGCAUGCACUUAUAUACACACACUGGACAACAUGUAAAAUAAGAGACCUGAUACCUUCAAAUAAAAAAAUAUAUGUAUAUACAUUUAGCAUCUUAUUCCAGGGAGAAUAAUGUUUUCUUUUAACAGCACUUAACUGAUCUUGGAUAAACUUGAUUAAACGGUAGUAAUUUAAUACUGCUAUUUUUAAAAUUUAUUACUUAUUUAUGUAUUUAUUUGUUUUCCUCUAGAGCAAGGCAUAACAAGAAGACAUACGCAUUAGCAAUUUCGAAGCUAUAAGUUCAUUUCAGAUGAGGACUGAUAUUUGAUUCGUCAUAUUGAAUCCCUUUGAAUG
rnacentral:lncRNA from 7 species